CUAAAUUUUAUAAAAUUCUAAAUUUAGCUCACAUAAUUAAUUUAUAUAUAGAUGCAGCUCUUGUGCCCGGAUGCUAGUAUGCUAUAAAUAGAUUAUCCAUAACCCUAAUGAGCCCUAAAAACGUUCUUAUUCUAAAUCUAGGGGCGCAACUUUCUUUGACGAUGCCGCUAAUUCUAAAUCUAAGAGGCGCAGAUACAAGUUAUGGCGGAGGAGAUGCAUUAACUAUUGAAGAAACCGAUGACGACGAGGAGGAGAUACGAUCUUCCUUUAAGGUUCUUUAAGCAAUUCAUUUAUUUAUUUUAGAUCCGAUUCGCACUAGCAUAAUUUAGGGAUUUUGUAAUAGUAGAUCUUUUGAUUUUUCACUAAUUAAACAGCUAAAUAAUUUCUCUUUGACUUGAAGGGUUAGUAAAACAAAAAGGGUAAUUGUAUUUAAUCCCCGUGUGUUGCUAUUUAUUUCGAUUUGCAGUAGCAUAAUUUAGGGGUUUGGUUAUAUUAGAUCUUUUGAUUUUCCACCGGAUAUGGUAAAUAUGGUAAUUAAAGGAGUAAAGAAUUUCUCUUUGAUUUGAAAGGUUAGUGAAACAAAGAGUGUAAUUUUACUAAAUCCAUGUGUGUUUUGUUUGCUAUCUAUGGACAGGAUUUCGGUAUUAGGUCGAUGUUUAUGGCAUUUCAUAAUUUGUAUAGAAUGAAGAACAAUGGUCAAAAUGUGUUUGCAACCAAUGGGCCGUGCUUCUAGAAGAUCUCCAUUAAGAAGAAACUGCUAACUUUAAGUUCUGGUAUCGAAUUCUAUUAGACCUUGUAGGAUCGAAUGAUCCUUUAAUGUGGUACUAGAAGACUAGGUUUUGGAACCACUGGAGUCUCUUCUUCAAGCCCUUGGCUGCUGUUCAAAGGAGAUACGGAGCAUCUCUUAGCCAUUGAGCUAAGACUAUAUAAAUGCAGUUGCUGCGGCCGCCUCACUUGGUUGGAUUGACAACUGCUGAGCCUACUGGCAUACGACUCAAACAAAAUGCUUAAUCACCCCUGUCAUUUACCUUCACCCAUACAUAUGUGCAGCUAUAAAAUGUGUAACAUUGGGUCGCGCACUACAGGAAAAAUAUCUAUCUGCGACCAAUGCAUUCAACGAUCGCCCCAUCCGGUCACUGAUAGUAUUGAGCCUAGGCUUAUAUAUAUGUAUGUAUAUAUAUAUAUAUAUAUAUAUAUAUAUAUAUAUAUAUCUUCAUCUUGCAUUACCUGCUGAAGGUCGUAUCUCUUGCCGGCCUGUCGAAGUUAUCAACUUACCUCCAAUUCCUUCGGUCUUAAGGGAGUUAAGACCGAAGUUAUCAACUUACCUCCAAUUCUUUCGUAUCUCUUGCCCUUCUUCAUUGACAACCACCAAGUUAACAGAUUGCAUCAGUAUCGGACAAGCUGGUUUUGUUCAAUUUCAACUUUCAUUUUGAUAUUUGUUUUCAAUAUUGUUCACAAGUGUUUUGUGAGAAUCAUUAUUGUAUAUGUUGGUUUAUCUCAAAUACCCACUUGUAUGAGUAGUAGUACAUUAUAAUGUGAUCGUAUGAACUUUGCAUACUAUAAUUGAGGCAAACAUUCUCCCCUACGUACAAAUAUGUGUGCUCAUUUGUUUCCGAUUUAUAAUUGUUUUAUUUUAACUCACAUAUUUCAAUAAUUUUUAAAUUUAAUUAUUUUCAGGUAUAUAUUGAAGGAUACAUGAUGUAAGCUGUAAAGAAUAUACUUGGUGUAAGCUGUAAAGUAAAGGGUCUUAGUGUCUCUAUUUUCUGCAUGUAUGUAUUACCCAAAUUCUAGGUUUUGUCCUAGAAGUUAAACCAGUGGAAGGAAGAAGAAGAUGAUGGUUAAGGAGAAGUGGGUGAAAAGCUCUACCAAAUCCUCCCUCAGCCAUCUUCACAGAUGUGACGCCCCCAAAAUAGGUUUACAUCACCUAUUCUGAGUCGCCAAAUACAUAGUACAGAAUACAAAUACAAAUUUAAAUAUACAACAUGAGCUGUGAGUUUUAAUACAAAUAUUGUCUUCUAGACAGUAUACAAACUCAAAAUAAGUCCUCAAUACAUUUAUUAUCACACUAUUUCACAGAAUAGUGAGGACUACUAAUGCAACCAUCUGGACCGUCAAUCCAUUCCCCGACUAGUCCCAGCUAUAUUCUCAUUUUCUGAAGAGAACAGUGAAAUAAAGGGUGAGCUCAACUAGCCCAGUAAGAAAUAUUAUGACUAAGAUAAUGCAGAAUAAAUUAUCCUUAGCCUUUAACAAUAUAACAACCGAUAGAAUAUAAUAGACAACAAGUUUUAGAUCAACAACUGCAGCGGAAUAAGCAAUCCAUUAGAAGAGUCAAGUAGAGCAUGAUAUCUACUAUUUUCUAUGAUUUAAAAAGUUUAUCAUCAAUUUUAUCGCUGAGACUCAGCUUAAUAAAUAAUCCACAUCAUCGAAUCAUCCCCGCACUACGGGCCAAGGAUAUUCGUGUUUUCAUCAAC
rnacentral:lncRNA from 1 species